AACAUAUGUAUACAUUUAUGCAUGUAUGUACUUAUAUAUGAGGGGUGUUCAUUAAAGAUUUCCCAUGACCCACUUCCCAAGGACUGGGAUAAACGAAACUUGGCAUAAGUAUUAGUCCUUCUUCUACAUAGCCACCACCAAUGGCAUACACACAC